rnacentral:lncRNA from 1 species
GAGCGUUGGCAAUUUCCCUAUGUAUAACUCCAAUGGACGACGACGAAGACGAUGCGGUUCAUAAUUGAUAAUUGAUAAAUAAAGCAAGAUUGCUGUCUGUUUGUUGAAUUCACAGUUGACAAGAAGCAUGAAAUGAUAAUAAGAUAUCAUAUCAUAUUAACACCACCUUUCUUCAAACUUCCUCCAUCCUCUCUACUUUUUUUUUUUCAUUUCAUUUUCGUUGCUGCACUUUUCCUUUAUUUAUUUUUAGAUAGAGUAUAAUCACUCAUGUUCAUUCAUUCACUCAUUCAUUCACGCACUUGACUGACCUUACCGACCGACCGACAUUAAAAAUAUAAAAAAGAGCGGGUCCAAACACCAUUCAUGGCGGGCGCAUCAGAUGCUGGCAUUGAAAGGUGAAGAAGGAGGAGGAAAAAAAUAAAAAUCUUGGCCAUUGCUUUAAUCAAAACAAACCCAUGAUAUGUAUCUGCGCCUUUCCUGAAACCUGCCCAGUGCGUGCCACACCUGCUCCCCCAGUGUCUGCUUCAUUCAACUCCGCUCUUUCAACGGACCAAAUUAAAUAAUCCACUCACAACUUUCAUACAUGCAUACAUAGAAAAAUAGAAAGUUAGAAACUCAUAAAUCAUAAUGACGUAGAUUUAGAAAAAUGGGUAAAUCGGGUGGGUGGCUCCGUGGCGUACUGGCAUGGCUGGCUGGCUGGCUUUGUAAGGUGGAGCCCAGACCUGAUUCGACUGCCUCGCUGGCCAAUGGAGCGAUUUAAAUGCUUGAUAGGUUCGAAGAAAAUGUUUACGGUGCAUGGGAAAUGGGAGAACC